AAAAAAAAAGAAGAAAAACAAUGCAUUUGGAAUAUUGGCAGAGCAAAUUUAUGCCAAUAGAAAAGUGGCAGAAUUUUACAGCAGUUGCAACAAGAUCGGUAAGUUAACAAGUAACGAGAUUGAACAGAGUUCUGAUGGCAUAUAAUUCAACUUGAAUAAAAAUGCCACAUUUUGCAAUACAAUUCCAUAAUUGAUGCAAGAAUUAAAGCAACAAGCAAGUAUUGAGUUCAUCAAUAACCUGAUUGUGCAGUGUGGACAUGAUAAAUGAACAAUACAUCAACUUUCUUCUCUCUCUCAUUAUCAUGGACAGAAUUUCAUGUGCCUAUUCUAGUAAGAAGGUUUUUUUUUUUUUUUUU
rnacentral:misc_RNA from 1 species